GAAACCCUUGUGUGCCUUUCUCCACUACACUGUUCAAGAGUUUUUUGCAGCACUGUGGGUCUUGAAGGAUCCAGAACGGACCAGAAGUGUUGUCCAACAGUGUCUGACUGACAACAUCAAACACAUGAAACACUUAGUCCCCUUUUUGUGUGGACUGUUAAAUGAUAAAAACACUGAUUUGCUAGAAAGUCUGAUUCCUUCUCAGCAGCUCAGAGAAACAUCUGGCUGGUUCUUCAAACACUUGGUGACCACCUUUGUAGAUUGUAGUGACACUGAGGACUGUGAAAUAGACUUGCUGUUCUUAUGUCAGUGUCUCUAUGAGUCUCAGUCUGCUGAAGCCUGUGUUUAUCUUCUGGAUAAACUGGACUACUGUCUUGAUCUGAGUGGGGAGACUCUCGAUCCUCAGCAAUGCCAUGCUGUGUCCUAUAUAAUCACCCAGAGUAAGGAGAGGAAAAUACAGCUGAAGCUGCAAAACACAAAAGUAUCAAAACAAGGAGUGAGACCAUUACUAGGAUGUCUGAGCAAACUCCAAAGGAAUCCCAGGCUGAGUAAAUGUUCUCACUGAGUUGUGGACUUGUUUCUGGUGUUUCUUCUGACCAGGCCCGUGGCGAGGAUUCGAGCCUUCAGGACAUCCAGCUGUCUCAGAACCCAGUCGCAAAGAUUGUUGCUUUUCUGUGUGAUCAUGUGUCACUGUAAAUAAACACACUGUACUGAAAAUUUAAGAUUCUGCUUUUUGAGUCCUUCACUAACCAUGACAAAAAAUCAUCUGGAUUUAACAGAGGAAUGAACGAAAGAACUUAGUGAAGUCAUUCACAUGGAUCUCACCUGUCUGUCCAGCAGCUCACAUGUAUUUCAUGUAACUUUAUUCUGUUUCUAUAUCCC
ensembl:lncRNA